CAGUAAUUUAUUGUAGUGCACACCCCGUACACUAGGUGGCAGCGAUGUACAGAGGUGAAACUCAGUAAAGAAGAAGAAGAAGGCUCGUGUUAGUAGCAUGUUGGGGUUCAGGAAAAAUGUUGAGGUGCUAAGAGCAGUUUGAUUUUACUCACAAGCGUUAAAUUAUCCCGUUUUUUGUAUUAAAUUAAUCUAGAUGCUGUUGACAGCUACUUAGCUUGUUUACGCUACUAUUUUAAGCUUUUGCCCCCCCCCAAAAGGUUUCGUUUAGCAACUUUAGCUGAAACUGAACACGUGGAGAGGCUCGAUAGUCCGUUGGGUCUCCCUGAACAAAAUGGGUUCCAGUGAACUGAGCUCCUGGAUCUCACAUGUUCGACCUGCUGAUGUGACUGCAGAGCUUGUGUUUCCAGGCAUCUACCACAAGAACUAAAAGGGUUUGUCUUUGUUUGUUUUAUUAUUCAAAGCUUUUAGUUUUCACAAUAAAAUAAGUUGUGGAAUAAA